UAUCAAUUGUGGAAAUUUUUUUUACUAUUCUUAUACUGUUACAGGUAAUUCAAACGAACAAAGAACCAAAGAAAACCUUCAAAAGGAAAAGAUUAGCAAAUAAAUCUAAAGAGUUUACAAACAGCAAAUCUAAACAGAGGCAGGGGUUUCAGUACGUAUGAAAUGCAUUUUACACCUACGGAAAACGACCAAAUGUUCGAAACAUUUUGAGUAAGGCUCAGAUGCCG